UACAGAGGGGGCGAGCGUUGUUCGGAAUUACUGGGCGUAAAGGGCGCGUAGGCGGCCAACUAAGUCAGACGUGAAAUCCCUCGGCUCAACCGGGGAACUGCGUCUGAUACUGGAUGGCUUGAAUUCGGGAGAGGGAUGCGGAAUUCCAGGUGUAGCGGUGAAAUGCGUAGAUAUCUGGAGGAACACCGGUGGCGAAGGCGGCAUUCUGGACCGACAUUGACGCUGAGGAGCGAAAGCCAGGGGAGCAAACGGG
rnacentral:rRNA from 1 species